rnacentral:rRNA from 1 species
ACUCCUACGGGAGGCAGCAGUGGGGAAUUUUGCGCAAUGGGGGAAACCCUGACGCAGCAACGCCGCGUGAGUGAUGAAGGCCUUCGGGUCGUAAAGCUCUGUCAGAGGGAAAGAAAUGUUAUUGUGCUAAUAUCGUGAUUACUUGACGGUACCCUCAAAGGAAGCACCGGCUAACUCCGUGCCAGCAGCCGCGGUAAUACGGAGGGUGCAAGCGUUGUUCGGAAUUAUUGGGCGUAAAGCGCGUGUAGGCGGUUUGUUAAGUCUGAUGUGAAAGCCCCGGGCUCAACCUGGGAAGUGCAUUGGAAACUGGCAGACUUGAAUACGGGAGAGGGUAGUGGAAUUCCUAGUGUAGGAGUGAAAUCCGUAGAUAUUAGGAGGAACACCGGUGGCGAAGGCGGCUGCCUGGACCGAUAUUGACGCUGAGACGCGAAAGCGUGGGGAGCAAACAGGAUUAGAUACCCUGGUAGUCCACGCCGUAAACGAUGAGAACUAGGUGUUGCGGGUA